rnacentral:rRNA from 1 species
GACGAACGCUGGCGGCGUGCUUAACACAUGCAAGUCGAACGAUGAACCCGGAGCUUGCUCCGGUGGAUUAGUGGCGAACGGGUGAGUAACACGUGAGUAACCUGCCCUUGACUCUGGGAUAACUGCGGGAAACUGUAGCUAAUACCUGAUACGACCUUCGGCGGCAUCGCCAGGGGACGGAAAGCAUUUCGGUCAAGGAUGGACUCGAGGCCUAUCAGAUAGUUGGUGAGGUAACGGCUCACCAAGGCGACGACGGGUAGCAGGCCUGAGAGGGUGACCGGCCACACUGGGACUGAGACACGGCCCAGACUCCUACGGGAGGCAGCAGUGGGGAAUAUUGCACAAUGGGCGCAAGCCUGAUGCAGCAACGCCGCGUGAGGGAUGACGGCCUUCGGGUUGUAAACCUCUUUUAGUAGGGAAGAAGCGAAAGUGACGGUACCUGCAGAAAAAGCACCGGCUAACUACGUGCCAGCCGCCGCGGUAA